rnacentral:rRNA from 1 species
GACGAACGCUGGCGGCGUGCCUAAAACAUGCAAGUCGAACGGUCCUAGCAAUAGGACAGUGGCGAACGGCGGAGUAAUACAUAACCAACGUGCCCUGAAGACUGGGAUAGCCGGGUGAAAACCCGAGUAAUACCGGAUGUGGCUCCUUUCCGGCAUCGGAGAGGAACUAAAUGGUUUUUCGCUUCAGGAGCGGGUUAUGGCCUAUCAGCUUGUUGGCGGGGUAAUGGCCCACCAAGGCGACGACGGGUAGGGGGUCUGAGAGGAUGAUCCCCCCGAGUGGGACUGAGACACGGCCCACACACCUACGGGUGGCAGCAGUUGGGAAUCUUGCACAAUGGGGGAAACCCUGAUGCAGCGACGCCGCGUGGAGGAUGACGGAUUUCGGUCUGUAAACUCCUUUUGUCGGGAAAGACUUAGGACGGUACCCGGCGAAUAAGGACCGGCUAACUACGUGCCAGCAGCCGCGGUAAU